CUUCAACGAGUUUAACUGCGAGUGUUAAUAUACACCGGUGUAUAAUGGCUCUCCACCAAAAGCCCAUUGUAUUGUACCAACGGGUUUUUGAUUUUUAUUGAGAUGUGUAUUAUGUAACAGUUAAUAAAUUUUAACUUACUAACCUUGAUAUUGAAAAAAUAAAAAUAUAUAUUUCCAAAUAUAUAUCAAACAGAUAAAAUAAUUCUUUUCUUUUUUUUUUUAAAUUGUUAUUUGCAUUGUUUUUAUCGGUCUUUUAAGAAAUGUUCGCCACCUUUGUUCAAGUAAUUGCAAACACAAAUUUUAACUUUAUUUAAAAGAGGAUUUGGCAAAUUAUAAGAAUUUUUUUUUUUCAUGAAAUUUUUGACCAACUGACAAUUUAAAAAAAUGCUUUUUUUGAGACGUGAAGAAUGUGCUAGAUAGGCGAGUUCCCAAAGCACCAUUUUGUUUGGUUUGUUAUAUGAUGAGAAAAGAGGCCAAAAAGAUGGAAAUGCCAAAACACAAGGAGAAAAUGUUAACGGUCUAAAGCUACAUCAGUGUAUAUUAACACCCGAUUUUUCUUUUUUGUUUCAUUUUUUUAUGUUGUAGUAAUGUGUACGAAUUAAUAUGUGGAACGAGACCAUGAUUGAGUAUCAAUUAUUUAAGAUUGUCCUCUACAAUUUGGUCACCUGUGAUGAUCACUCGAAUGGUAAAAAAAGAGAGAAAUAUAAAAAAAAAAAUUAAAAAUGAAUAGAGUUUGGCCACUUGCCACUUGAGGACAAGUUCAUCGGCAGCUAUUCUGUGAAAUCCCUUAUAUUCUACUUGUAUUUAAAAAGAGAACAACGUAUGGCCAAAGUAGACCGUUGCUCCUUGAAUACUUUUGUCCUGUGCUGGCAGUUUUGCAUUGCUUAAGUAACUUAGUUACCAUAUACUGCAUCGAACACUGGCUUUUUUUGCUUGUUACAUUCAGACUAGUCGAUUAGCGGCUAUUCUGCGAAAUCCCUCAUAUUGUACACGUACUUAAAUAGAGGACAACAUAUGACAGCAGAAAUGCUUUCAAUAUACAUUGAUGUAUGAGCGAUCAUGGCUGAUGAACAACCCAUGGAGGACUAUUUCAAUUGGUUCAUAGUUAGCCCCGAUGUCUUUCUAAGCAUUAAUUCGCAUUUACAGGGAGGAAAGCGAGGAAAAAUGCCAAUGACGUGUUAGUAUACACUGAUGGAUACUGAAACUACAUUAAUAACGCUUGUUUUUUCUGCACAUAUUGUACUGCAUACAUUUCAAAGGAAAUUUGAAUAACUCAAAAAAUGUGGAAGUUUCAGCAUUUGUGUUUGCAAAAAUGAUGGGAGCAAUAAUAAAUAACUAACGAGCGAGUGAAAAAAUUAUCGAUUGGUUAAAAGUAACAAUGUUAAUUAGUAUAACCGAUCUAUCAGAUGUUAAUUAGAAUUUUGGCAAAUAAAGUCCAGUAAUUUUC